rnacentral:rRNA from 1 species
UACGAAGGUGGCAAGCGUUGUUCGGAUUUACUGGGCGUACAGGGAGCGUAGGCGGUUGGAUAAGCCCUCCGUGAAAUCUCCAGGCUUAACCUGGAAAGUGCAGAGGGGACUGUUCAGCUAGAGGAUGGGAGAGGAGCGCGGAAUUCCCGGUGUAGCGGUGAAAUGCGUAGAGAUCGGGAGGAAGGCCGGUGGCGAAGGCGGCCUGCUGGGCUCUUGCUGACACUGAGGCGCGACAGCGUGGGGAGCAAACAGG